AUUUGGGUCUUCAGUCUCUGUGUGAGUGAUGCUGGUGGUGCCCUAGGUGGUCAUGGCACUGAAGGGGCUGCUUUGUGUUCUUUUUCUUUCCACUUCUAUUGCUUCUGGGCAGUGCCUUGACUCAGCAAUUGGCUGUCUGUUAGAUCUUCGCAGUGUAGUUGGUUCUUUGUGAAUAACUGAGUGGAGGGCAGAGAAUGUAGAGGCUGGUAUCAGCCACGUUCUGCUGUGCAAGGUGCUGUGAGGCAUGUUCUUCCUGGACUGCUGUAGGAUUGCUGGAGAGAAUUCUGUAACCCAUCCACCAGAUCAGUUUGAGAAGGAAAUGCAUUUACUGUACACUGGAGAAGCUGGAUGAAGAAGAGAUGUGGAAAAAGCCAGAAGACAACUAAGUCUGGAGCUUCAGCUGGGAGAGCAAGGCUAGACCUUGAGAACAGCAAAGGAAAUUUGAAAAGAGCCCAUGAUGGGAAGGAAGAACAGUUUGUUUUUGAGGGAGCAACACAGCUAAGCUACAGUAACUGUUGGAAAAAAGAAGGCAAGCAACACGCUCUUGAAGUGUUUAAACAACUGCAGUUACCUUUAGCUCAAUGGCUCUCCUCCCAAAACUGCCUUUCUGUGGAAGCAGAGUAUGUGGAAAUACAAAACUGCGUAAGGAACACUGAUUUAUUCAGAUGCUCGUGCUCUACAAAUCAUAGUGGUUUUUUUUGCAAGCCAUGCAAGUUUGAGCUGUUGAAGAUUUCAAUUCAGAAUUUAGACUUACUGAAUGACCUCCUGAAGAAUCUGUUAUAAAUUGUGUAACUACUGGAAAUGGCUCGUGCCUGCUGUUUUUAUCUGAAAUAAAGUUACAAAAAUCACUAUCCAGCAGUAGAGGUGAUCCAAAUUUUGGAUCUGCGCUAUUGGUGAUGGCAAUGAUGGUUUAAGUGGUGUUCAUCGGGUACCAGGAGUGCUGCUAUGCUGUGCAAAUCACAAUGAAAAACAGCAGCAGAGUUUACUUGGAGAGAAGCAGUGCACGUGCAGGCAGAAGAGGCUGAGUGAGUGGAGGGCUGGAACACCCAAGCAGAAUGACCAGUAUGAACCUUGCAAAUGUCAUGUUAAGUUAUCUAAAAAUUCAUCUCUCUAAUGGGUGGUUUAGAAAAGCCCAGAGCUCAGCAUGCAGGAACUUGUAUUUUUGACAGCUAAUUCCUGACAACCGAGAGCUGUUUGCCAGCUGAACACUUGCCUUCCCAUUGUAAAUGCUUUCUCUUGUUCACUUGUUCUUUUUCUGUUCCUGUGGUUUGUCCACACUUGAAGUCUGAGCCUGUUCUGCUUUCCUUUCUUAAUGCUCAAAUGCUGAAACAAAUGUCAGCUUGCUAGUGGAUAUCUAAAGGGAGAGGAGAGCUUAAUGUACUUUUAUCUGCUGCCUCCCAGAAGCCAGCAGGGAAAAAUGAGCAGAAUUGGAAUUUCCAUUUGGGACAUUUCAGUAUUUACUUUGCCAUUUACUUUCAUGGAACUGUAGAACUGUAGUUUGGAAGAUGUGUAUGUGAGCCUCUGUGCUGAAAGAAGGGCUGCUUUUUCAGUGGGGUCCGUUUCAUUCUGAACCAGAACGAAGAUUCAAAGUUUAUAUACCUUUGCAUCUGGUGUUUUACAUCUAUAAAAGGAAAGGAAUAAAAAGUUAGGGGGAAAAAAACUUUGCUCCAGGAAUGGCAAAAUAUUCUUUAUCAAAGCAGAGUAUUGUUGACAUUUCUGAAUGGAAACGCUUCAUUAGUAUCUGUUUGGCGAUAAAACCCAUCUGCUUGUGAGAUCAUAGCCC
rnacentral:lncRNA from 7 species